CGUGGUCACUCGUGGUCAUUCGUGGUCACUCGUGUGUACUUUUAGUGCAAAUUGGAUCUUGUCUAAAAGUACACACGAGUGACCACGAGUGACCACGAAUGACCACGA